rnacentral:lncRNA from 1 species
UUUUUUUUUUUUUCUUUUUAUGGCCACACCUAUGGCAUAUGGACAAUCCCAGGCUAGGGGUUGCAUCAGAGCUGCCUGCCGCUGCAGGCCUGUGCCAUAGCCACAGCAACACCAGAUCCAAGCUGCAUCUGCAACCUGUGCCACAGCUUGUGGCCGUGCUGGAUCCUUAACCCACUGAGCAAGGCCAUCCUCACAGAGACUGUCAGGUUCUUAACCUGCUGAGCAACCAUGGGAACUCCACGUGUAACUCACGUGUCGGGGAAGGAAGUGCACUGAUUCUAGCCUGAGUCUUACAUCCAGCUCUUGAGUGGAUCGUUCUGCAAGUAUAAAUUCUAUGAACAUGGGCCUCUCAUGGUCGAGCUCAACGUUUCUGUCCACGUAGACAGAUUCCAGAAAGUUAUAACUAAACAGUGGGGACAUUACUAUGUGUAGCAAUGCAUUGCCAUAGAAAAUGACAUUCUUUAGCACAGUAAUUUCCAGUUCAAAGCAAGACAAAUGGACAUUCCACUUGUGGCCCAAACAGUCGGCAUUGACCUCUCCAGUAGGAUUAAUAGGAGGUGAGUAGGGCACCAACUUGAAAUGCAAUUUGCGUUUCAUUAUCUAACAAUAUGGGGGUGAUUCUAAUCUGUCAUUCAUAAAUACGUACUUUUUGAGGUUUAAACACAACACAGAAAAUAUUUAAAUAUUUAUCUGGGGAAUUGGAUUAACCCAAGAGGAAAAAAAAAAUAUCUAAGACUGGUACUAGGCAUUCACUAAUAAACAUUCACAAACAACACAAUAAUAGAAUGACACUUUCAUUUCCUGGAAUGUUAUAAUUUGGGGGGAAAGAAUAAUUAAGACUAUGGUGGACUUUUGGAUAUCUAAGAUUUUGUGGUUGUAAUCUUUGUUCACAGUGUUGAGUCAAGAGGUUUUGAUCAGUGGAGUGAGAAGAAAGUGGUGCCAGAGAGCAAUGAAUUUGAUAGUAGUCAGAGUAACAAUUGACAUUCACUGUAUUUAGCUCUCAGACUUGCCCUUAGUUUAUCCUUUUACUGAAAACUUUGGUAUUUAAAUGCUUAGGAUUAUAUUUACUAUUUAGUUCUUCCAUGCAAAAUGUGCUUUCAAUUUUUUUUUUUAAAUAAAAAAAGCCAUGUUCAUUUUUAGGUAGGUAUACAAUUUUUGAAUGACUACAGAGAUCUGAAAUGAUCAAGGAAACCUCCUCGUUUGAGAAUCUGGUCCAUUAUUAAUAACUUCGGUAUCACAUUUAAGAAAGAGGAGCCUCUUUAUAUCACCAAAGUAAAAUUCGCAGCAACACUGAACAGUCAGGGAAGACUUUAUUCUAGGCUAUUACAAAUAUGAGAGAGAGACCAGAACUAAGUCUGAGUUCAACUCCACUAAAACACAGAGCACGAGGAUUGUUAAGGGCUAGAGUUGGAGGGAACAUUCAAGUCAUCUGUGUUUCUCAGUCGGAUUUACCCAAAGGAAAAGUAAACGCUUAUCUUUGGGACAGGAGGUUGUUUUAUAACUAGGAACAAAGCACAUAUCAAAAUUAGGCUCUUACCGUCUCAUAGCAACUGUGGAAUGUAGAGAUGCUGUCUGUUUCCCUUAAUGUUUUCAUUCUAAGAGAGAGGUUGUAGAACUGCCAAGAGACUUUAUUUAUUUAUUGGGGGUGCUGCCCCACAGCAAGUGGAGCUUCUGGGCCAGGGAUCAGAUCUGAGCCACAGCUACAACCUACAUCACACCUGUGUUAACACUGGAUGCUGAACCCACUGUGCCUGGCUGGGGAUUGAACCUGUGUCCUGACAUGGCAGAGACUCCACCAAUCCGAUUGUGCCACAGUAUGAACUCCACCAAGAGACUUGAUAGAUUUCUCUUCCAAAGGGGCAGGAAAUAAUUGUACAGGUACAAGUUUUUUAACCUACAUACUCUAGAAAAGAGAGGCCAGGUGCCUAGAGCCAAGAGUAAAGUUUGGGCAAGCUGAGGGUAAUGUUAAGACCAUUAUUUGCUUCUUUGUAAAUAUAUUUAAGUUUCUUCUAAAGUAUGAAAGCAGUCAGAGAGGAGUGGCAUAUGAGAAUUGUAGGGAAAAAUAGAAUCACUAAGGUGUGUAUGUGUGUGUGUGUGACUGAUUUAAAGGAAUAGCUCAUGGAACUGUGGGAGCUGGCAAGUCUAAAAUUUGCUGUGCAAACUGGAGACCCAGAGACGAGUUGAUGUUGAGCUCAAGCAGGCUAUCUGCUGGCCAAACCCCUUCUCCUUCAGGGGACCUCAGGCUUUUGCUCUUAAGGUUUUCAACUGAAAGAGGCCGCCCACUCACAUCAUGGAGGAUAAUCUACUUUACUCAAAUUCUACUGAUUUAAAUUUUAAUCUCACCUGAAAAUUAUCUUCAUAGCAGCAUCUAGACUAAUGCUUAACCAAAUAUCUGACUACCAUGACCUAGCCAAGUUGACACAUCAAAUUAAUCCUCACAGGCAGUGCGCCUGGUAUACGGAAAAACCCUUGCCAGGGCCAUAUGGAAUUUGGACACUGUGUUUCUGAAGAGUCUGAGAAACAUUCCUCCACUACUUUUAUUGAAUAAAUCAGUUACCUAAUGGGGGAAAAUUCCAAUAACUUGACAUCAGGUAGGUUCUUGUGAACUUUUAUAGUUUCAAAGAAGCAGAAACGAUCCUAACUUUUCUUUUCUGGAUAAUGAAGUUGACUUUGAAAUAUAUGAGUAUCAGAAGAGUGCCCUGAGGCAAAGAAGAUACGGCUUUUUAAGAAAAGGCUUCAAUUUGAGAAGCAAGAACCAUGCUCUCCAUGGCCGGAUAGGUUUCUCCUUCUCUUAGAGCCUUUAUUAUCGUUCACUCUGCAGUUCUGAGGAGUCUACAAAUGAACGAUGCCUCCUAACAAUCUGCGACAGAUUCUUGGAAACAUACUUGGUAUUUAAUCACUUGUCAGCGAUCGAGAAUGUGCAUAAUAUCAAUUAUUACUCUACUGUUCAGAGGCUGCACCCUAUUUUUCCUAUUCCGCAUCCUUCCUCGUUUUUAAUUCUUUAGUAUCAAAGAGGAGCAGAGCAUGCCACUUGAAAAUGGCACUUUUGCCUAAGGAUCAUUUUGAGCUGAAGGCAACUGAGAAGAAGCAGAUACAAGAAAAACUGUGUUCCUCUUAUUUGCCAGAAAGCAAGACAUAAAUUUGUAAAGGUAUCCUAUUGCCCCUCUACCAGGAAGGGCAGAAGUAAAUCACCUAGGACAACCCUAGACCUUCAUCAGCCCAGAGAUAACGCCAGAGGAAUCUACACAAAAAACAUGAUGAAUCACCCUUAUUUCCCCCAUCUAUUUACCGGCUCACAAUUUGUUGCCUUCGAGACUCAAAGUCUUUUUCCUUUUUCUUGUCUCAAAAUGCGUUGUCCUUUUGUUAAGAUGCCAUGUAAGCCUGAGUUCUAACCACCCCUUUGAGUUGCUCAUCACAGAGUGUGUCCAUCCAUAUGGGAGGCACACAUGUUAAUACACUUAUCUUUUUCUCCUGUUGAUUUGUUUUGGCAGGGCCUCAGCCAGAGAACCUAGGAGGGUAGAGAUGAAAAGUUUUUUUUUUUUUCCUUUCCCACAAUAAUAAAGCUUGCUGUUGUAAGUAUUAUAUUUUUCUUCACCUGAAAUAUUUCUCUUUUUCCCCCUACCCAUAUAGAAUGCUAAAUAGUUGAUUCUUUGAGUUCACAAAGAUGCCUAUUUCCUAAAUUAUAAAACCUUCUGAAUGGUACAAUUCUUUGUAGUUUUAUAACUACUUUUUCAGAAAAAGUAGAUGGUAGGAUCAAACCUUAUUUUGCGUCUUAAAACUAAAAGACAUUUAAUGUAUAUAUCUGUGCAAAUACGUAAAACUGUGAAGUAUAAUAAUUUAAUGAUAAAAACAAAGUCAGGGUCAACGCAAAGAGUGGACUUUAAAAGUACUAUGUGAUUUCUUGAACUGAAUUAAAGGUACCUAGGUUUUUCUUUUAUUAUUGCUCUUAUACUUCAAAUAUAACUGAUUAUAUAUACACCUAUAAAACAUUUUAUAAGUUUAUACAUAUGUAUGUAUGCACAUAGGGUAUCUAUGUGUCUAUAUAAUUUGUUAAGACUUCAACUUGUGGUGGCUGAAUUCUGAUUUAGAUUGAGCAUGGGCUAUUACUCUCCUUUGAGAUUAUCUUCUUUAGUCAUUUUUACACAUUGUUUAUGUAACUCAUGGAUUGAAUUGCUUUUGAAAUAGACUCCUUCCGACUUAAUUUAGUUGGAAAUAAACACUUGUCACAAUAUGAUGUCAUAUUACUUCUCUAAGAUCAAUCUACUAGAAACCUUUAAGUUAUAAUUGUGUAAAAGGAAAAAUUUCCCUUGCAGCAGCACUUAUCUAGGAGGUAUCAAAAUGAAAACUGUUUCACUAAAAUUCUAACCAAUUAGCAUUGUUAAGGAAUCAGAAACUGUGAGUGACCCCAUGUAGCCUGACAUUUUCCUGCCUGGAGGCUCUCACCUGACCAAUGAGAAGCAAUGCCAUUUGUUUUAACUAAUCAUGAACAGACCUAUGGAUGAAUCUGGAAGGAUAGUUUUCAAUCCUUAAUCAGAAUACCCACUGUGAAAUCUUUUCCAAACGCUCAAAACCCAGGACUUUCCCCUCAUCUAACUACUUAGGGAAAAUUCUUCACUGGUAUGUUUUGGAAGCUGACAAACCCAACUUAAAAAAAAAAAAAAUAGUCUUUUGUGCUGGCUCCAGUAGAUAUUGAUUUAAUUUAUUGUUUAUUUAAAUCUGAAAAUACGCUUAUAAGAAUGAAGCUGAAGGUAUAUAUUGGUUUGUAUUUUAUCUGCUAUUAACUCUUGUGAUAACCUUAUCUUUUUUCAUAGUUUCUUGAAACGACUGUCCUAUCUCUGGGAUUUUUAUAUCCAUACAAAUGCAGAAAGUGCAUUUUUUUCCCUUUCUUUUACCUCCUUUUAUUUUCUUUUUUCAUGUCUAAAAUACUAGUGGUUUGCAGAUGAGGUUUGUUUACUUGUUUGUUGUGGUUGUUUGAGCUUCUUGAAAAAUUCCUUGCCAAAACCUUGGUUUCAUCCUCUGCUGCACAGAACACACAUCACGAAUGUAUCCAACUGAGCUCCGUUAUGUCAGACAAAGCAAAGGGAGCUUAGGAAGUGCUUUUUUAAUCUACACCUGCCUCUCCAAGAAAGGAAAUAAAUUGGCAUAUUCUUUUCCUGGAUUCCCUGUUGGCUCUGUGGGGCUGUGUGGGAAUGUGGUUGUAUUUUCUUAACAAACUGGUCCUCCAUCCUCCAGCAGAAUUGGGUGAACUACAACCAUCAUUGUUUCCAUUUCAUUUCACGCCCAUAAAAAUGAAUUUGCUGGAGUUCAGUGGCUGUAGGCUCAGAACAUUUGCAGUAUAUUUGGGAUGGAGUGUAAGCUCUCUUCACUCUUUUUAUUCUUAUUUUAUUAAAGAACAUUAACGCAUGAUGGAAGAAGGUAAAGAAAAAUGUUCAGAAUCUCAUCACAAAUUAUUUUCAAAUUUCUUUCAACACCAAGCUCACAUGCUAAUUUUAUACAGCUGUCAUCAGUGCUUUUAUAUGAUCAUGUUGACAUAAGCAUUUUAGCUGUUAUCCUAUAAUAAUAUUGAGUGGAUUCAUAAUAUUAUACCAAGCAGACGAAGCAGCAUUUCCUAACCAUUCUUCCAUUCCGGAUAGUGGAAAUUUAGGUUGUUCCUAUUUAAAACAUUAAAAUCAACCUGUAGAUGACUAGUGAUAUAAAUUGACAAAUAAAUUUCAUAUGGUGGCAUUUCUGG